UUACAAUGGAGAGUUUGAUCCUGGCUCAGGAUGAACGCUAGCGGCAGGCCUAAUACAUGCAAGUCGAGGGGCAGCACAGGUAGCAAUACUGGGUGGCGACCGGCAAACGGGUGCGGAACACGUACGCAACCUUCCUUUAAGCGGGGAAUAGCCCAGAGAAAUUUGGAUUAAUACCCCAUAAGAAUGUGGAAAGGCAUCUUUCAGCAUUUAAAGAUUUAUCACUUAAAGAUGGGCGUGCGUCUGAUUAGGUAGUUGGUGAGGUAACGGCUCACCAAGCCGACGAUCAGUAACUGGCGU
rnacentral:rRNA from 1 species